CGACCGGCGCACGGGUGCGUAACGCGUAUGCAACCUACCUUUAACAGGGGGUAGAACACUGAGAAAUUGGUACUAAUACCCCAUAAUAUCAUAGAAGGCAUCUUUUAUGGUUGAAAAUUCCGAUGGUUAGAGAUGGGCAUGCGUUAUAUUAGCUAGUUGGUGGGGUAACGGCUCACCAAGGCGACGAUACAUAGGGGGACUGAGAGGUUAACCCCCCACACUGGUACUGAGACACGGACCAG
rnacentral:rRNA from 1 species